rnacentral:rRNA from 1 species
ACACGGGGGGCGCAAGCGUUAUUCGGAAUUAUUGGGCGUAAAGCGUACGUAGGUGGCUUGAUAAGUCAGAUGUGAAAGCCCUGGGCUUAACCUGGGAACUGCAUUUGAUACUGUCGAGCUAGAGUUUGGUAGAGGGAAGUGGAAUUCCGGGUGUAGCGGUGAAAUGCGUAGAGAUCUGAAGGAACACCAGUGGCGAAGGCGACUCCCUGGACUUGAACUGACGCUGAGGUACGAAAGCGUGGGUAGCAAACGGGAUUAGAAACCCCAGUAGUCC